rnacentral:sRNA from 1 species
AUGUUUCUUCUUCUUCCUCUUCUCAU